GGAGAGAUGGCUCAGUGGUUAGAGCACUGGCUGCUCUUCCAGAGGUCCUGAGUUCAAUUCCCAGCAUCCA
rnacentral:tRNA from 1 species